UACGUAGGGGGCGAGCGUUGUACGGAUUUACUGGGCGUAAAGCGCGUGUAGGCGGUCCCUUAAGUCCGGGGUGAAAGGCGGAGGCUCAACCUCCGAGCUGCGCCGGAAACUGGGGGUCUUGAAUGUCGGAGAGGGGCGUGGAAUUCCUGGUGUAGCGGUGAAAUGCGUAGAGAUCAGGAGGAACACCGGUGGCGAAGGCGGCGCCCUGGCCGAACAGUGACUUUGAGACGCGAAAGCGCGGGGAGCGAACGGG
rnacentral:rRNA from 1 species